UACGUAGGGUGCGAGCGUUGUCCGGAAUUAUUGGGCGUAAAGAGCUCGUAGGCGGUGUGUCGCGUCGGCCGUGAAAACCUGCAGCUUAACUGUGGGCUUGCGGUCGAUACGGGCAUCACUGGAGUUCGGCAGGGGAGACUGGAAUUCCUGGUGUAGCGGUGAAAUGCGCAGAUAUCAGGAGGAACACCGGUGGCGAAGGCGGGUCUCUGGGCCGAUACUGACGCUGAGGUACGAAAGCGUGGGGAGCGAACAGG
rnacentral:rRNA from 1 species